CCUACGGGAGGCAGCAGUCGGGAAUAUUGCGCAAUGGAGGAAACUCUGACGCAGUGACGCCGCGUGCAGGAAGAAGGUUUUCGGAUUGUAAACUGCUUUAGACAGGGAAGAAAAAAGACAGUACCUGUAGAAUAAGCUCCGGCUAACUACGUGCCAGCAGCCGCGGUAAUACGUAGGGAGCAAGCGUUAUCCGGAAUUACUGGGUGUAAAGGGAGCGUAGACGGUAAUGCAAGUCUGGAGUGAAAGGCGGGGGCCCAACCCCCGGACUGCCCUGGAAACUGUGUAACUGGAGUGCAGGAGAGGCAGGCGGAAUUCCUAGUGUAGCGGUGAAAUGCGUAGAUAUUAGGAGGAACACCAGUGGCGAAGGCGGCCUGCUGGACUGUAACUGACGUUGAGGCUCGAAAGCGUGGGGAGCAAACAGGAUUAGAUACCCUUGUAGUC
rnacentral:rRNA from 1 species